rnacentral:lncRNA from 1 species
UCAAAUUACAAAUAGGUAUUUGUAAAGAGUCUUGAUUGGAUGAAAAUUGGUCCAAAGAUGUUAGAGAAUUGUUGGAAAGAUCCAAAUAUUGCAAACUUUUCUUCCACACCCAAUUUGGUACGGCCCCGCUUAUUUGGUUGUUUGAAAGGUCAAGUUCUUCUAAGCUCUCUUGACUCUUUAGAAAUGCUGGAAACGUACUUAUAUUACAGGAUCUCAAACGCAACGAAAUCAGCAUUGGAAAGGAGGAAUUUGCAUCAUCAAAAGGAAACUGAUUCGGAAUGUCAAUCGCAUUGGAAGAAAGGUCUAAUAUUUCAAGUGUGCUCUUCCACAACCAAUUUGGUACUGCCCCGCUUAUUUGGUUAUUUGAAAGGUCAAGUUCUUCUAAGCUCUCUUGACUCUUUAGAAAUGCUGGAAACGUACUUAUAUUACAAGAUGCCAACAACAAAAAUCUCAGCAUUGGAAAGGAGGAAUUUGCAUCAUCAAAAGGAAACUGAUUCGGAAUGUCAAUCGCAUUGGAAGAAAGGUCUACCGAUAUAAGUGUGCUCUUCCACAACCAAUUUGGUACUGCCCCGCUUAUUUGGUUAUUUGAAAGGUAAAGAUAUUCUAAGCUCUCUUGACUCUUUAGAAAUGCUGGAAACGUACUUAUAUUACAAGAUUCCAAAAACAACGAUCUCAGCAUUGGAAAGGAGGAAUUUGCAUCAUCAAAAGGAAACUGAUUCGGAAUGUCAAUCGCAUUGGAAGAAAGGUCUAAUAUUUCAAGUGUGCUCUUCCACAACCAAUUUA